GCAAGUCGAGCGAACUGAUUAGAAGCUUGCUUCUAUGACGUUAGCGGCGGACGGGUGAGUAACACGUGGGCAACCUGCCUGUAAGACUGGGAUAACUUCGGGAAACCGAAGCUAAUACCGGAUAGGAUCUUCUCCUUCAUGGGAGAUGAUUGAAAGAUGGUUUCGGCUAUCACUUACAGAUGGGCCCGCGGUGCAUUAACUAGUUGGUGAGGUAACGGCUCACCAAGGCAACGAUGCAUAGCCGACCUGACAGGGUGAUCGGCCACACUGGGACUGACACACGGCCCACACUCCUACGGGAGGCAGCAGUAGGGAAUCUUCCGCAAUGGACGAAAGUCUGACGGAGCAACGCCGCGUGAGUGAUGAAGGCUUUCUGGUCGUAAAACUCUGUUGUUAGGGAAAAACAAUUACAAGAGUAACUGCUCGUACCUUGAAGGUACCUAACCACAAAGCCACGGCUAACUACGUGCCACCAGCCGCGGUAAUACGUAUGUGGCAAGCGUUAUCCGGAAUUAUUGGGCGUAAAGCGCGCGCCUGCGGGUUCUUAAGUCUGAUGUGAAAGCCCACGGCUCAUCCGUGGAGGGUCAUUGGAAACUGGGGAACUUGAGUGGAAUUUCCUGUGCGGAAUUCCACGUGUAACGGUGAAAUGCGAACAGAUGUGGAGAAACACACUGCCUGAAUGCAUCCUGUUUGCUCAGUAGCUGACGCUGAGGCAGCAAAGCGUAGUGAGCACCCUGGAUUACAUACCCUGAUACUACGCCUACUAAUCGAAGAGUGCCUUGAGGACUAUGGGAUCCGCCUUUUGCUGUUGCUACACCGCCUGUGGAGUACCGCCCCGAGGAUAACACUCGCAUGACUUGACCUCGGCCCACACGACCGGGGCACGCUGUGGCUUAGUUCCAAGCGACUUAAUUAACAUUACCGGGAUAGACUUCCCAAGACCUGUCUUCAUCUGGAUUGGUCCUUCAGGAACUCUCUGCUUCGGGCUGCAAG
rnacentral:rRNA from 2 species